rnacentral:lncRNA from 1 species
AUUAUCAUAUGUAUUCAGACUUGCACAAAGGUUUGCUUGAAUUUAUGAUGAACAUAUUAAUACUUCAUUAUAGAACAUAAAACUCUGAAGUUGGUCCCAAAUUAUAUGUUAAAAAUGCUUCUACUCCGCAAGGAGUUUGCAGCUCAGUUUUAGUUAAAACACAUUCAUCCUCACACCUUGAGGUGCCAAGUUCGAUGCCGAUCCCUCCUCCCCCAAUAGCAGAUGGGUAAAACCCGCGGAGCAUUAACGUGCAUUACUUGAGCAUGCUACAUUUGCACCUUCCUAUAUCUGAUAAAUUAAAUCCGCAAGCAGCAAAAUAAACAAGGUCCAAAACACCAUCCAUAGCAAAGCCAAGUAAGGACAUCACGGCCAUCACGAACGGCUGGGAUUAUUACACACAAUCGUUCCUGGCAUAUGAAAAUGCCCACAACAGCUUCCAACCAUCUAUCACACGAGACCUAACACAACACAGAUCAACUUAAACAGAAGCAG